rnacentral:rRNA from 1 species
CCUACGGGUGGCAGCAGUAGGGAAUAUUGCUCAAUGGGGGAAACCCUGAAGCAGCAACGCCGCGUGGAGGAUGAAGGUUUUCGGAUUGUAAACUCCUUUUGUUAGAGAAGAUAAUGACGGUAUCUAACGAAUAAGCACCGGCUAAAUCCGUGCCAGCAGCCGCGGUAAUACGGAGGUUGCACGCGUUCCUCGGAAUCACUGGGCGUAAAGAGCGCGGAGGCGGGAUAGCAAGUCAGAUGUGAAAUCCUAUGGCUUAACCAUAGAACUGCAUUUGAAACUGUUAUUCUAGAGUAUGGGAGAGGUAGGUGGAAUUCUUGGUGUAGGGGUAAAAUGCGUAGAGAUCAAGAGGAAUACUCAUGGCGAAGGCGACCUGCUAGAACAUAACUGACGCUGAUGCGCGAAAGCGUGGGGAGCAAACAGGAUUAGAUACCCCUGUAGUC